UCCCCUCCCCUCCUGUUUCUUGCUAAUGCAGACCCUGGGAGACAUUGGUGAUGGCUCAAGUGAUUUGGUUCCCUACCACCUCCAUGGUAGACCUGGGUUGAGUUCCUCUCUUCUCCUAAUUCAGCUUUUCCUAGCCCCAGCCAUUGUGACCAUUUGACAAGUGAAUCACCAGAUAGGAGUUCUGUUUAUUUCUCUGUCUUUGUCUCAUUGCCUCUCAAAUAAAUAGCCAUAGAUAUUAGAUUGUCAUUUGUAAAAAAUUUUUAAACUUGGUUCUUUUCUUAUUUUUAUCUUGUAUACUUUGCUUAGACUUGUAUUUCAUUGCUGUGACUUUUCACUCCUAUUCAAGCUUUUUGUAGUAACUUGUAGAGUAUUUUCAUCAUGACUAUUUUUGAAAUCUCUGAGAUAACUGGAACAUUUCUUUGAGCUUGGUGAUGUUAUGUUUUGAUUGUCUUAUUGAGUUUGAAAUCUUUUUCAUUCUUGUUUUGACUCAUGAUUUUCUAUUGAAACCUGGACAUUUUGGGUAUUUUAUGAGACUGUUGAUCUUGUUUACCUCUUCUGUUUACCCAGCUUUUUCUUAAACUGCUCUGACCCAGUUAAGAGGCAGUGCUGUCUUGUUAGUGCCAGGUGUGGGUAGAAGUCUAGGUUCCCCAGUUGGCCUGUUUGAUACCCGAGGUGGGUGCAGUAUUCAUUACCGCUGGGUAACUUGGAGUUCUUGCUCUCCAUGUGAUCUCCUGUGAUAAUCUGGAGAGGGUCGCCUUGUUACUCCUGGGGUCACAGGGCCCGUGCUAACUUUCCACUAGGCCUUCUGAGGCUGCACUUGCGUGGAAUGGGGUAGGUGCUCUUCCUUACUGUUGGUGGAGGUCAGCUUUCAGGUUUCCUACGUGAUCUCCAGUGAUAUUGCAGGAAUGUGGGGCUUCAUUGUUGUUCAGUGAAUAUAAAGUCCCACUUUGUACUCCAUCUUCUUGUACAGAUUACUGGUCUUUACUUGUGUGGACAGGGCUGGGGCUACAUUCUUUUUUCUUUUCUUUUCUAUAGUAUUUUUUUUUUUUAUUUGAUAGAUACAGUUAGAGAGAGAGACAGAGAGAAAGGUCUUCCUUCCGCUGGUUCACUCCCCAAAUGGCCACUACGGCCGGAGCUACACGGAUCUGAAGCCUGGAGCCAGGUACUUCUUCCUGGUCUCCCAUGUGGGUGCAGGGCCCAAGCACUUGGGCCAUCCUCCACUGCAUUCCCGGGCCAUAGCAGAGAGCUGGACUGGAAGAGGAGCAACCUGUACUAGAACCCGGGCCCAUAUGGGAUGCCUGCGCCGCAGGCGGAGGAUUAACCAAGUGAGCCAUGGCACCGGCCCCUUUUCUAUAGUAUUUUGAUGGACUGGAUUGUAGUUCUCUAAAAAUUUUCUAUCUUGGUAGUCUUGCCCUUUCUUGUUCCUUUGGCUAGAGAGUGAUCUUUUGCAAAAUCAUUUGGUGUUUCCUGAUUGUUAGCUUCUUUGGCUUCAAGUCUGAGAUAAGUGAAAAAGAAAAGCCUAGGACACUCACCACUCUGUUGUUAUAUCCCAAGGUCCUAGGCCUGCUGGUCUGCAUUAUUUAGUCUUCGGAUGUUUAUCAUAUAUUUAAUACUCAGAACUUUGACUUGUGUCAGGGUACUUCACAAAGUUCGUAGUAAAUGGAAUUAGAAGAUAAGCUUAUUUUGAUGCAAAGAAGGUAUUUAAUCCAUGCAUGGAGGGCUCUUCAAAAAAAGAAAAAAAUUAUUCAUGUAUUCUAAAAUUUUUUGCAACAAUCCAAACUUAUAUUUCCAGUUUUCCAUGAACUUUUUCAGAUGUCCUCAUAUUAGUGGUUGGUAACAGGCAAUUGUAUGACUCUUCCGUUUUUCUGGAUGCAAAGUCUUUAUUCCAUAAGUUUUAAUUUGUACUAUAACUUUUCCUUUAGAUGUAGAUAUUUCCUCAUUUAUAUUGUGACCUUUUCAUAAGUUAAAAUUUUCUUUAUCAUAUUUGUAAGUUAUUUAGAAAUAUAUUUUUUGUUUUGUGGUUUUUCUAGUUGUCCUUUUUCUCUUAAAGAUAUAUAUUUAUUAAUUUGAAAGGCAAAAUGACAGAGGAAGAGACAAAAGGAAAUAGAUCUUCCAUCCAUUGGUACACUCCUUAAAUGGCCACGAUAGCCAUGAUGGGUAUAGGCUGAUGCCAAGAACGUGGGACUCUGUUCAGGCCUCCUGUGUGAGUGGUAGAGACCCAAGAAUUUGGGCAGUCUUCUGCUGCUUUCCCAGGCACGUUAGCAGGGAGCUGAAUUGGAACUGGAGAAGCUGAGACUUGAACCUAUGUUUCAAUAUGAAAUGCAGUAUUUGUAAGCAGUGACUUAACCUGCUGUGCCACAGCACCAGUCCUUCUUCUGGUUAUCCUUUAGUGUUGAGUUUUAGUUUAAUUUAAUUGCACUGUGAUCAGAGAUGAUGUUGUAUGUAAUUUUGAUCUCUAAAAAAAUGAGUUUUUUUAAAAAAGAUUUAUUUAUUAGUUUUGAAAGUUAAGAGUCAUGGGGCCAUCUUUGCGCUGUAUUGGGUAAAGCUGUAGCCUGCAAUGCUGGCAUCCCAUAUGGCUGCUCCACUUCCAAUCCAGCUCCAUAAAAGUGUUCCUGGGAAAACAGCAGAAGAUGGUCCAAGUGCUUGGGCACCUGCACCCAUGUGGGGGACCCGGAAGAAGCUCCUGGCUCCUGGCUUUGAACCAGGUCUGCUCCCUGUUGAGGCCAUUUGGGGAGAGAACCAGCAGAUGGAAGAUCUCUCUCUCUGUAUCUCCCUCCCUCUCUUUGUAGUUCUGCCUUUCAAAUAAAUAAACAAGUCUUUAAAAAAAAAAAAGUUACGGAGAGGGAAGUCUUCUAUCUGCUGGUUCAAUCCCCAGAUGGCUGGGGCCAGCACUGGGCUGGGCCAAAGCCAGGGGCUGGGAGCUUCAUCCUGGUCUCCCAUGUGGGUGGCAGGGAUCCAAGCACUUGGGCCAUCUUCUGCUCUUCCCAGUCCAUUAGCAGGGAGCUGGAUUGGAAGUGGAGCUGCUGACAUACUGGAGGUCAUAUGGGAUGCCAGCAUCACAGGCAGUGGCUUAACCCGCUAGGCCGCAACACUGGGCUGAGAUUUUCUUUUUAAGAUUGAUUUAUUUAUUUGAAAGGCAGAACCACAGAGAGGCAGAGAGAGCUGGGAACCAGGAAUUCAGCUGGGUCUCCCAUGUGAGUGACAGGAACACAAUUACAUGAGCCUUCAUGGCUGCCUCCCUGGGUCUGCAUUAGUGGGAAGCUGAAAUCAGGAACUGGAGCCAGGCAUCAAACCCAGGCGCUGCAAUGUGGGAUUCAGGCCUUUUAGUCCGUGUCUGCACUGCUAGGUCCACUGCCCACCUCCUACCAUCUGUAUAUCCCUGUCUCUAUCUCUAUCUAUAUCUCUAUAAAUCUCUUCUGAGAGGCACUCCAGUUUGGGAUGCAGGCAUUUUAAGUGGUGUCUUAAUUGCUAGGCCAAACACCUAUUGCUAGGCCCCCUACUAUCUAUCUGUGUAUGUAUGUAUUUAUUGUGUUCCAAGAGAGACCUCUCCCAUCUGCUGCUUCACUCCCCAAAUGCCCGUGAUGGCCUGGAUGAGGCCAGGUUGAAGCAUGGAGCUGUGAGCUCACUCCGUGUCCCUGCCAUGUGAGUGGCAUCAUCUGAGCCAUCAUCUGCUGCCUCCAAGAUGUGCAUUAGCAUGAAGUUGGAGUUGGGAGUGGGGCAGGGACUUAAGCCCAGGUACUCCCAUGUGGGAUCCCAGUGUCCCAUCCAACGGCUUUAAUCAGUUCCCACUGUGCUCACUAGGCCAAAUGCCUACCCUAGCUAUCUUUUAAUUAAUGUUUGAAACAUCUUUGCUUUUGCUUUGAACCUUUAUGUGCCCUUAUGUUUGUUUGUCUUUUUUUUUUUUUUUAACAAUUUAUUUAUUUGAAAGUCAGAGUUACACAGAGAGAGGAGAGGCAGAGAGAGAGAGAGCAAGAGAGAAAGGUCUUCCAUCCGAUGGUUCACUUCCCAAUUGGCCGCAAUGGCCAGAGCUGCGCCGAUCCAAAGCCAGGAGCCAAGAGCGUUCUCCAGGUCUCCCACUCAGGUGCAGGGGCCCAAGGAGUUGGGCCAUCCUCCACUGCUUUCCUAGGCCAUAGCAGAGAGCUAGAUCGGAAGUGGAGCAGCUGGUACUAGAACCGGUGACCAUAUGGGAUGCCAGCGCUUUGGGCCGGGGCGUUAACCUGCUGCACCACAGUGCUGGCCCCUGUUUGUGUCUUGUAAAAAGAGCAUAUAGGUUCCUUCUUAUGUUUCUUCUUUAGACCAGUGGCUCUCAACUAAGGGAUGUGAUAGGGUGCACAGGGCAAUAUGUGGAGACAUGUGGCUUUCUCAACUGGGUGGAAUGGUGUCCUAGGCACCUAAUGUGUGAAGACCAGGAAUAUUGAUUAAGAUAGCCCAACAACAAAGAGUUAUGUGCUGUAAAAUGGAUGGAGCAUAUACCUGCGCAUGGGAUGGAAAAGACCUGCAAAGUCAUUUGGUCUAUCUCUGACAAGGCAACUACAGGUCUAAUUUGGCCUCUGGAGAUUCUGCCUCAGCAAGAAGUGCAAAAUAACUCUUGGAAAGAAAACUAAAAGAAAAAGAAAGCCAGACUUGCUUUUACAUGAUUAUCAGAUUACCUACCAAGAUGGACACUUUUCCCAACAUUUUUCCUCCUGGUGGAGACAGUGGACUGACAAGUUCUCAAUCUGAGUUCCAGAAAGUAUUAAUUGAUGAGCGGUUACGAUGUGAACAUCAUAAAACUAAUUAUCAGACUCUGAAAGCUGAACACACAAGGUUGCAGGAUGAGUACAUGAAGUCCCAAAAUGAACUCAAGCGCCUGUUAAGUGAGAAGCAAACUAACCAGGAAAAAUUCCAGCUGCUGCUUGAAGAGCUAAGAGGGGAGUUGGUGCAGAAAACAAAAGACUUAGAAGAAAUGAAGCUUCGGGUAUUGACACCUCAAAAAUUGGAAUCGUUAAGAGCUGAAAUACGACAAGAAUUAGAAACGCCAAUGAGAGAACGUUUUCGGAAUCUGGAUGAAGAAGUAGAAAAAUACAGAGCAGAAUAUAAUAAACUUCGCUAUGAACAUACAUUUCUGAAAUCAGAAUUUGAACACCAGAAAGAAGAGUUUGCACGUGUUUUAGAAGAAGAAAAAAUAAAACAUGAAUCAGAGAUUGCCAGGCUGGAGAAAGAUAAAGAAGAACUACAUAACCAGCUGCUUAGUGUUGAUCCUGCGAAAGAUAGCAAACAAGUAGAACAACUUAUUGGAGAAAAAGUCCGGUUGUGUCAGAAGUUAAAAUGUUUGGAGACUGAAGUAGCAGAAUUAAGAGCUGAAAAAGAGAACUCUGGUGCUCAGGUAGAAAAUAUCCAAAGAAUACAGGUGCGGCAGUUGGCUGAGAUGCAGGCGACUGUCAGAUCCCUGGAGGCUGAAAAACAGUCAGCUAAGCUACAUGCUGAACACUUGGAAAAAGAGCUACAAUCAAACAGUGAACAAAAUACUCUUUUAAUUAGUAAACUGCAUAAAGCUGAAGGAGAAAUAACUACAUUGACAAGUAAAAUUUUUCAAGACCCAUUCCUUGCAAUGUUUGCAGGACCUUCACAGAUGAAAUCUCUCCCAGUAAAAGAACUUAAACAUUCAAACAAACUAGAAAUAACAGACAUCAAACUGGAGGCAGCAAGAGCUAAGAGUGAGCUAGAAAGAGAAAGGAAUAAGAUUCAAAGUGAACUGGAUGGACUACAGUCAGACAAUGAAAUUCUCACAUCAGCUGUUGAACAUCACAAAAUGCUCUUAGUAGAAAAGGAUCGUGAAUUAAUACGUAAAGUACAAGCUGCCAAGGAAGAAGGUUAUCAAAAACUUGUGGCAUUACAAAAUGAAAAGCUAGAACUUGAGAACAAAUUAGCCGAUUUGGAGAAAAUGAAAGCGGAACAUGACGUCUGGAGGCAAUCUGAAAAGGAUCAGUGUGAAGAGAAAUUGCGGGCUUCACAGAUGGCAGAAGAGUUGGCCAGAAGGGAACUUCAGAGUAUUAGGUUAAAACUUCAGCAACAAAUUGUGGAUAUUGAAAAAGCAGAGAAAGAAAAAAAUGAAAAUUCUGAUUUGAAACAGCAAGUCAGUAGUUUGCAGAUUCAGGUAGCCUCGCUGGCGCGGUCAGAGAAUGAAUUGCUGAAUUCAAACCAAAUGCUGAAGGAAAUGGUGGAGAGAUUAAAGCAAGAAUGCCAGAAUCUCAGAGACCAAGCCGAAAACGCACAACGGACAGUUAAAAAGACAAUGGAUGAGAAGAACACGGAGUGGCUGAAGGAAAAGCGUAAGCUUCAGGAACAUAUCACAGAGAGAGAAGAGAAAUAUAAUCAAGCUAAAGAGAAACUGCAGAGAGCUGCAAUUGCCCAGAAAAAGAGAAAAUCUCUUCAUGAAAACAAAUUGAAGAGAAUGCAGGACAAAGUAGAAGUUCUGGAGGCAAAGAAAGAAGAAUUGGAAACAGAAAAUCAGGUAUUAAAAAGACAAAAUGUUCCAUUUGAAGAAUAUACAAGGCUUCAAAAAAGGCUAAAGGAUAUACAGAGAAGACAUAAUGAAUUUCGAAGUCUAAUUUUGGUUCCUAGCAUGCCUCCAACUGCAUCCAUCAAUCCUGUUAGUUUUCAGUCAUCAGCGAUGGUUCCUGCCAUGGAACUGUCCUUUCCUCCACAUAUGCAGGAAGAGCAGCAUCAACGGGAACUCUCUCUGCUUCGCAAAAGACUUGAAGAACUAGAAACAACACAAAGAAAACAACUAGAAGAACUUGGAUCUCUUGGGGAAUGAUGUUGCUGGAGAAAAGGAACUCCUUUACCUCUUUGAAGACUGUAGCAGCCUUGGAAUGGGGACCAGACCUCUCACCUUAAUACUUAGAAGGAACCUAUUUGGUAGUAUUUUUGAGAUGUGUCCAUUGGACAAACAAUGGUCAAAGGCGACAGGAUUGCGAAGGUACCUGUCAGAGCAGUAACUGCUUGUUUCUCUAAUCAGUUUGUUGAGGUAUCACCUCUCUCACUCUACCAGAUAUUAAGGAGCAAAAAAGAAUUGCAGUUAUCUGAGACAAACUGACGUUGAAAUCCUGGUGUUCCAUGCCGUGUUGGUAAAUGGUUUUUAAGGAAUGUGUGAUACUUUACUUGCUACUUGAAAAGAUUUCUUCUUUUCCAGAUCAGGGAUUUCUGGAGCACCAAGGAUAAAAAGGUGCCCACCACAAGAAAAGCUUGAGAGUUGCCAAUUAUGCUUUUCACUUCUGGUUUAAUCGAAGGAAAACACAGUGGUAUUAAAAUUGGUCAUGAGCAGCAAAAAUUCAGGAAUAAAAAAAUCAGCAAUAUAAAGACUACAGUAUUAACUGGAUAGGGCAUUCUUUAAAAAGAAAGGUAUGAAUAAUAUGGGUAUUUUAAAUUCUUUCUUCUGUAAGGAAUACUUUCAAAAAGUACAUAGUAAGACUAAGAUACCAAGUUGUAUACUAAUAUUUUUCAGGCCUUGGGCCUCAAAUAUAUAUAUUUAUAUAUAAUACUCCAGUGUGAACAGCAAUUUGAUAAAAUGUAAAAUGUACUUUUUUUUUUUUUUAAAUCACACACAAGUAUUAUAACCACAGGGUUCACCAGAAAUCUAAAGCAAGGAGACACGGCUUCCACAGGUAGUUCUAAUCAAAGGUUUUCAAACAGAAAUCAACUUGUCUUCUUUUACAAUACUCAACAUGUCCACUAUCAAGUACACUUAGUAUGAGAAACAAAAAACGAGACGACCGUACACUGGGACACAGUAUCUGGUAAAAUGCUGCUGCACGGCGCUGAAGCUCCCUCACGCUAAAAGCUCCUUGCUUUAGAGCUCCGGGGUGAAAGGGAGGGGAGGGUGAUGGAGUGCAGUUGGUGACCACUGGAAAACACGAGCCCUUUCAACAAUGCUGCGACACUGUUCGUUUUUGGUUUGAACACACACACACACACACUCACAAAUGCUAAGGGUACACACUACCAAAUUCUGUGGUCAGCUUUUCCAAGAACUACUGGGGAAAGUUUCAAUGCUGCAAAUCCUCGAGGUUGCCCUAACACCCCCACCUUGUUUCCAAAUGACUCACUUCACCUUCUGCUUUGAGCACUGGCGGUACCCCUUUUCUGCAGAGAUGCUAUGUAGGCACAGGUACUACAUAGCUGUAGUUUUCCACCAAAACCACUUGUAUCAUUGUGCUUAAGGGGAGACUGUAGUUGUAAUACUGACACUUGCUUACUGGCCCUGUAUUCUCUGUAAACAAGGAGGCUGUGUGCAACAACCACGUCAACUCUAUUUACAGAAGGUUUCCCACGGUACACACAGGCACAGUGGUCGCUAUGCUUUCUAAAAGCUGUGCAUGUGCCUUGGUGUCUUCAAAAGACAGUGCUCCAAGUGGAACCUAUGUGCAAACAAAAUCUUAACGACAAAGAGUAGCUCAAGCAGCCAUUGUGCUCCCAAGUCGUCUGAAGAACUUUGCCAGAUUAACCCAGGCCCCAGAGUGCUUACAUCCACUUGCAUUUCUUCUUUUCAUCAAAUAAGACUUUAACAUGCAAGAGUUGUUUCUGUGCUUCUUCCAGCCCUCGUUCUCUCUCUAGUUUAUUUAGAAUCUGUUGACAAUUAGAACAGUUAUUUUAGAUAUUGUGGUUUGAGCAUUACAAUUCUGGUUUUUUUGUUUUUUGGGGAUUUUUUUUUUUUUUUGCAUUCCUGAUGCUGUGAGUGGUAAAAUCUGUAUGAAACAGAUGCCAACAUUUUCUUUGAUCAUUUACAUACUCACUUUGCAAGUUGUUUUGCUAAGUCAUUAUCACAGGAUCAACAACACUUUGGCUUAAAAUAGAAGCUUGCAAGAAAUACCAACUAUUUGCUUACAAAUAUGGGGCCAGACUUCCAAGGCCCUACUUUAUGCAUUUUGUCACAGCCAUUCCAAGCACAGCAAGCAUUCCUGGGCAGCCAACAUGCAGGCAAGUAUCUCUUCUGAAAUGCAGCAGGCAGGGGCAUCCUGGUCAGAGACGAAUACUUCCCUCCCAUCCUGAGCAGUGUAGCCCCGCCUCUGCCCUUCCCCUCCCCAGUGCUUCCCUUCUCACCCCUGACCCCUGAAAGAAGGAUGCUUAUCAUGUUUAAGGAACUCAUUGCCUCUACCCUACCUUAGCGCUUCACUUGAUCUUCAAGUAGCAAAUGGACUUGGUGAGCUAUUCUCACCAGUGACAUGGAUAGCCUGUCCCAGCAUGACUGAGUGGGGGGGAAUCAGGGAAGGGGCGAAUUAACAUAUAUUUGGAAACAAAGCAUCUGAUGAAUGUGUCUGUGUGAAUUCCCAAAGAAAAAAAUCCAGAUUAAGGAGAAUUAAUCAAAAAGGAGAAUGGUUUAUUGAAAUAGUCGCUUAAGUUAGAAAUAUGUCAUAAUUUCAUAUAGCUACUAAAUACAGAAUCUAGGCAUUUUAACAAGCUUAGCUUUCACUUUUUUCAGCAGGUUUUAAUCAAGCAUCAGCGGGCCCUGUUUAGUAGGGUCACUACUUACUCAUCAAAGUUAAAGUGAGUCACUGUGGCUUCAGGCCCCAUGAACUUAACUGUAAAUGCAGACCUGUCCCAAAGUGAGCAGCAUGAUCAAGCUGUAGGAGGGGCAGCCGUGUGCAGGGUCCGGCCUGCUGCCAGGACCCCUCAGCUUAGACAGGCUUCCUGGCCUCCCUUUCUGUCCAUCUGGGAUGGCAGAGCUGUCCUGAGACUUACAGAAUUCUGUAACCAAAUCCUUGUGACCGACUCAUAGGCGAAAAAGACGUUACAUAAAAUCUUACCUCAUCAAAAUACUUUACGAUGUAUUUGUAGAUUUCUGUCAAGGCCACUUCUUCAUUAAAUUCAUUUUCAUGUUUCUAAAAGAAAGCAAGCCUUAUUCAGAGAUUCUGAAAAUUUUUUUAUUAAAAAAAAAAACUGAAUGUAAGUUUAUCUCUGCCUUCUAAUGAUACCUUAGAUUCCUGAGUUAAGAAUUCUUCCAUUUCUAAUGAUGACAAUGGAGGCAAAUCCCUGAUUGCUUUGUAGUAAGAUUUUACUUCCUCUUUGUAGGUUGGGAUAUCCUUGGCAUAGAGAAGUUUAUUAGUUGGUGCUUCCUGAAAAAAAGCAACCACCACCAAAAGAGUAAAAAUCCAUGGGGAAUUUACAGCACUACCAGUGUAGCUGAGCCGUCACCAGCCGGCACAGGAUGACUUCCGCAGAACGCCUUCUGCGGUAGGCUUUAAUGAACGUUGUUGACUGAGUGACUGACUGCCAUCUCGAUAGUUCUGCUGCUGCUCCGUGAGAGAAAACGCGUCCAUGAAUGCCUGGGCAAUCACUGACAAGCAGCCGUCUAUGUGUGGCGUCUUCUUAAUGUCAAAGACAAACUGAGGGUUCUUCAGGAUGUUUACCCAGAAGCGCAGAGGAAGGCUGUUCAAAGACAGAACAAUCUCUUUUCACGUGAAGCCAACGGUCUGUUUGUCACAGUGUGGAAAGGGGUGUUUUUGUCCUUGGGAUUGAAGUACACAAGUCUGCUUAGCCAAACAGAACCACGCAACAGAUGGUGACGCUACUCAGAACAGGGAAGGGUUGACACUGACAGAGCUGCCGAAAGGCCGGCCAGACAAGUUUGAAAGUGGCCGUGGACAAGAGGAGCAUUUUCUCGACUGGGCGAGAUGAUGGUUACCAAGGAGGGCAUCCAGAUCUCCAGGAUCUUCGCAAACCUGUGCCACCCUGGCCUAAACCACCACCGUGUCUCACCUGGGUCAUCCAUCCUCGGCUUCUCAGACUCAGGUCCCUUCCCUUCCUCGCUCAAACCUUCUGUGGCUCUCGUUCUCCCUCCAGAUUAACACUUUACACGCCUAGCCCUGAGCUUCCCCCCUGUGCUCAUCCCAGCUCCCCUGGACUUUCCACUGUGGUUCUUCAUGAAUGUAAAGCAAGGUUGUGCCUCAGGACUCUCUUCUUAAGGUUUAUUUAUUUGGAAGUCAGAGUUGGAUCUUGCAGCCAUGUGGGGAGUGAACCAGUGGAUGGAACAGCCAGGGCUGCACCAGGCCAAAGCUCGGAGCUUCAUCUGGGUUUCCUGCCUGGGUGCAGGGGCCAUCCUCUGCUGCUUUCCCAGGCACAUUAGCAGGGAGCUGGAUGGGAAGUGGAACCGAUGAGACUCGAACUAGUGCCUACAUGGGAUGUUGGCGGCACAUGUGGUGGUUUAAUCUGUUAAUGCCGCAACACUGGCCCCAGGAUUUCUGCCUCUUAUUGUCCAUCUCCCUGACACUCACCUGCCCAGGCAGUCUUGUGGUUGAUUCCCUCUCUUGAGACUGGCUCAGAUACAAUCUUUGCUCUGUGAGGCUGUCUCCAACUGCCCCGUUUGGACACUGCUAUCUUCCUUUCCCACUAUCUCAACUAUAUUAUCACCACCUUCGGAUAUACUACAACUGAUACAUUCAGCCUAUUGGAAUGCCGUCUGUGAAGACAUGGAUUUGUGUGUUGGGAUCUUUAUCUCCAGCACCUAACAGGGACUGGCACAUAGUAGGUACUUAGAUAUUUGAGUAUGAAUUUAGGAAUUCUUCCAAGUCCUUCCGUGAUUCCCUUUAAGCUUUUGCUGACUCCACCGUCAGCUGCCAUACUUCACAGGGACAGUGGAGUCAGCAAAAGCUGACCUAUGGUAGCAGGGUCUGGAGAGAAGAGGCUGGAACUCAGGAAGGCAGCAAGCCACAGUGGAGAGUGGAGAUAGACCUGGAGUAAAUGGGAGAGAUCAGACCUAGAGCUCUAGAAUUUCAGCUUUUCAUACUCCAUUAAGCUGGGUGGCAGACACCACUGCUGGGAAGGGAGAAGUGCUAUAUCAUAACCCUGAGUGUUACUCAGCUGUGGGCAGUGAGCUAUGCUGCUUUACUGAGGAGACUUCUACACUCACCUAUGAUGUGUUGCCACUGCAUAAGGUUAAAUGUUCAAGUAUGUGGCAUAGUAGGCUAAGCCUCUGCCUGCAGCGCUGCCAUCCCAUAUGGUGCCAGUUUGUGUCUUUGGCUGCUCCUCUUCUGAUUCAGCUGUCUGCCUGUGGCCUGAGAAAGCAGUAGAAGGCGGCCCAUGUUCUUGGGCCCCAGUACCCACAUGGGAGACCUGGAGGACGCUCCUGGCUUCGGAUUGGCCAUUUGGGAAGUGAACCAGAUGGAAAACCUUUCUGUCUGUAACUUUACCUCUCAAAUAAAUAAAUAAAAAUCUACUGAAGCAAAACCAA